rnacentral:rRNA from 1 species
GAGUUUGAUCCUGGCUCAGAGCGAACGCUGGCGGCAGGCCUAACACAUGCAAGUCGAGCGCCCAGCAAUGGGAGCGGCAGACGGGAUAGUAACACGUGGGAACGUACCCUUCAGUACGGAACAACCAAGGGAAACUUUGGCUAAUACCGUAUACGUCCGUAAGGAGAAAGAUUUAUCGCUGAAGGAUCGGCCCGCGUCUGAUUAGCUAGUUGGUGAGGUAACGGCUCACCAAGGCGACGAUCAGUAGCUGGUCUGAGAGGAUGAUCAGCAUCACUGGGACUGAGACACGGCCCAGACUCCUACGGGAGGCAGCAGUGGGGAAUAUUGGACAAUGGGCGCAAGCCUGAUCCAGCCAUGCCGCGUGGAUGAUGAAGGCCCUAGGGUUGUAAAGUCCUUUUAACGGGGAAGAUAAUGACGGUAUCCGUAGAAUAAGCCCCGGCUAACUUCGUGCCAGCAGCCGCCGCGGU